rnacentral:rRNA from 1 species
UACGUAGGGUGCGAGCGUUGUCCGGAAUUAUUGGGCGUAAAGCGCACGUAGGCGGUCUUGUAAGUCAGAUGUGAAAGCCCUGGGCUUAACCCAGGAAGUGCAUCUGAUACUGCAAGACUUGAGUCCCGGAGAGGGUGGUGGAAUUCCUGGUGUAGAGGUGAAAUUCGUAGAUAUCAGGAGGAACACCGGUGGCGAAGGCGACCACCUGGACGGAGACUGACGCUGAGGUGCGAAAGCGUGGGGAGCAAACAGG